GCCUGGGUGAUUCCUAGUGGUCUCGGGUGCAGGCUUCAAGCCUAUAGCUGUCUAGCAACAGAGUGGUUCAAUUCCACCUUCCAGGUG